GACGAACGCUGGCGGCGUGCUUAACACAUGCAAGUCGAACGGAAAGGCCCUGCUUUUGUGGGGUGCUCGAGUGGCGAACGGGUGAGUAACACGUGAGUAACCUGCCCUUGACUUUGGGAUAACUUCAGGAAACUGGGGCUAAUACCGGAUAGGAGCUCCUGCUGCAUGGUGGGGGUUGGAAAGUUUCGGCGGUUGGGGAUGGACUCGCGGCUUAUCAGCUUGUUGGUGGGGUAGUGGCUUACCAAGGCUUUGACGGGUAGCCGGCCUGAGAGGGUGACCGGCCACAUUGGGAAUGAGAUAAGGCCCAGAAUCCUAAGGGAGGCAGCAGUGGGGAAUAUUGCAAAAUGGGCGGAAGCCUGAUGCAGGAACGCCGCGUGCGGGAUGAAGGCCUUCGGGUUGUAAACCGCUUUCGCCUGGGACGAAGCGUGAGUGAAGGUAAUGGGUAAAGAAGCACCGGCUAACUACGUG
rnacentral:rRNA from 1 species